CUUGCCAGGGAACUACAAGCCCCAGCUUAAAACCCAAAGGACUUGGCGGUGCUUUAGACCCCCCUAGAGGAGCCUGUUCUAGAACCGAUACCCCCCGUUAAACCUCACCCUCCCUUGUUCAACCCGCCUAUAUACCGCCGUCGUCAGCUUACCCCGUGAAGGACUAUUAGUGAGCAGGGCUAGCAUAGCCCAAAACGUCAGGCCCUGGUGUAGCGUAUGAGAGGGGAAGAAAUGGGCUACAUUCACUGCCCCAGUGAAAACGAAUGAUGCCUUGAAAUAAACAUCUAAAGGAGGAUUUAGCAGUAAGAGAGAAAUAGAGCGUCCCUCUGAAACUGGCCCUGAAGCGCGCACACACCGCCCGUCACUCUCCCCAAGUGCCAACAUACAAGUAAAUAAGAAAUUAAUAAACAAAGGGGAGGCAAGUCGUAACAUGGUAAGGGUACCGGAAGGUGCACUUGGAAAAAU
rnacentral:rRNA from 1 species